CCAAGAUAGAGAAUGCUUUGCAGUGAUGUAUUAUCCACAGGGGCUCAGGAACCGGCUGUCAUAUUUCUGGAUUAAAGCUGAAGAUGAACAGGCUGGGAUGGGCUGUGGUUUUCUUUUGAUCGACUCUUCUCUGCAAGCAAAUACCAAGACCAUGUCGGAGACCUUUCUGCGUGGUAGUAGGUGCUGCUAUAAGAUCUGUGCACACAAUUGCUGGACAAGCAGAGAGAGAGCCUGAGCACCCAUCACUGGAUGACAAAUGCUUCUAUUUGGAAGUGAUCCCAAGCCUGGUGAAGGCAGGGGUUCACUGCAGCCCCAAGACAGCGGUGUGUUUUGUAUACAGCAAGAAUAUAAUCAGUGUUGUCUGCUAUGGUUCUGCAUUGAAAGCUAAACAUGAAAUGGCACACUUUAAAGCAGCCCCAGAAGAGAAG
rnacentral:lncRNA from 1 species